AGAAAGUCUGCUUUUUGAUCGAUUUUCAUUCCAUGAAAUAUUUUGUUUGAUAGCUAAUGGCAUGUUUAAUUUUUCGUUGACCAGAUAAUGUAUUUUCCUUCUUGGAAUUUGGAACGUAAAUAUUUGCUAUUUUUGGGUACUUUUUUGGUAAUUAAUUUAAAAUUGAAAUUUCAAAAGAUAAGUAACUAACCUUAUCCUUACAAUACACAUUAAUCCCCUAACCCACAUCUUUGAAAAAAAAUUGCUGCUCUUAACCCCAUCACCCACAUCUUCUUAAAGCCCACAAUUUCCAGAAUUUCUGAAAAUUGAUACGAACUUCUUUUAAAAAUGUAAACCUCAUCUUCAAAGGGCCAUCAUUACUUGCCUUUGGCUGUUUUAAGUUUUGUCUUUUUUUAAAAUUUGGAUACAUCCAAACGCACAUCCUAAACUAUCGAAGUUUGACAUGGAUAGUAUUAAGUAUAUACUUACAACUUCAACAGACAUGGAGGAUACGAAACGAAAACCUUUCCGGUUUAGUACUUGAAACAGUUAGAAACUUGCAAUAGGUCGAGUUCUUCUCAAAACAAAAUGUCCACAAUGUGCAAACCAAAAAGUUAGCUGCAAGUUCUAUCAUGCUUUCUGCUGCAUCUGUAGACAUGUUGAUACGUUUAACUUUUUAUUACUUUUAUUUUGUAUAAUAAUGGUUUGAGAUAUCCUAAUAAAAUAGUUGAUGAGGAUUUGUCUAUCCAAUCUAAAUUUGCUUGGAAGUGAGUCAUUUUUGUUUGUUUUUUACUAUCUUUGUCUGUCUAAAAAUGCUUCUUUUUCUAAAGUUUCUACGAGUCUUUUGAUUUAAUAUGAGCAAAUUGUAAGUUGUGCUCUUUGUCACUAUACAUACAUAUUAUUGUUAAUAACAAUUUUUUAGUGUAAUGUUCAUUUUCUCAUUCAUAUA